GGGCAGAGCCAGAAACAGGAAGUGCCCUGUCUCAGAGGACUUCUGCCUCUGUGUAUCCUGAAUCCUCCAGCCAGGUCACUUGGUAACACUUCUUACCUCUGCUCUCAGCUGUGGCAGCGCUUCUGGAUACUGUCUUCUAGCUCUAGGCGCAGGCAGGAAUUAAAGUUUCCUGCCCCUGAUUGCUCCUGGACAUCAUGGCCUGUGCUUCUGCCCAGCUCGGUAAAUGACAAGUCAACAACAAUUCUGCUGGAAAACAAGAAUAAGGGCAAGCUGGACUCAAGAAACAAAUAAGCCUCAUCAGUCUAGCUAACACUUCCAUAUAAGUAAGAGUAGAACCAUGUCUGCAUUUGCUCUCUGCUCCUGAUGCUUCAGUGUGUAAUGAUGGGAAGAAACUAAUGGGACAGCAUCUUCAUUUAUGAACAAUUAUAUAAUAAAAUACCACACUUAAUAUAGGCAAGCAA